AUGGGCUCCAGGCUCCUCUGCUGUGUGAAUCUCUGCCUCCUGGGAGCAGGCCUGGUGGAUUCCGAAGUCACCCAGACCCCAAAAUUCCUGACCAAAUCAAGAAAACAGCAAGUGACACUGAGAUGUUCCCCUGAAUCUGGACACAGCUCUGUGUACUGGUUCGCACAAGCCCUGGGCCAGGGCCCCCAGUUCCUCGUUCAGUAUUUUGAUGGAGAAGUGUAUCAAAGAGGAAACAUGUCAGAUCGAUUCUCAGGUCAACAGUUAGGUGACUCUCGCUCGGAGUUGAACUUGACCCCCUUGGAGCUGAUGGACUCCGCUCUGUAUCUCUGUGCCAGCAGCCCAGACACAGCUUUGCAUGAUCAGGUGCCUCUGGAACAAAAACUCUCCUGCCCCAGCUCAGGAAGUGGUGGUGAGCAUGUCGGUUGCCAGUGUGCCAAGCUCAGUCUCUGGAAGAGCAAUAGAUUUUCCCAGACAUUCAUUUCUUGAUAUGUUGUAAUGCUCACUAGGAUCAUGCAAAGUAAGUAUUAUUUUAACUGUUUAUAUAUCUGAGGGGAUGUGAAUUGCCCAGAUCUCAUACCUCAUGACUGUUACAGCUAGGAUUGCAGCUCAAGUUUCUUUUCAACACCUGUGGUCCCUUUCCUCAUGGAACCAUCUCCAUACAGAGCAAGUUACAUAUACGCGUUGUGUUAUGUGUAACAACAUACAGUUUGGGGCUCUGUGAUAUGAACUGUUACUCAAUGAAUGGCAGCCACGCAUCACAAGGAGGUAUUCCCAUGAAAAGAAUGUCUCAAAUAAAAAAGAGUGUUUUUCACUUACCCUGGUGUGUGCCAUGACUCACCAUGGUGCUCCUAAGUCUGCAUUACUUUCUGCCAAUCCAUCGUCCUGUGCUGGGCAACCAG